rnacentral:rRNA from 1 species
GCCCUUCGAUAACGAACGAGACCUUAACCUACUAAAUAGCUCGAUUAGCAUUAGCUGAUUAUAAGCUUCUUAGAGGGACUAUCGAUUUCAAGUCGAUGGAAGUUUGAGGCAAUAACAGGUCUGUGAUGCCCUUAGACGUUCUGGGCCGCACGCGCGUUACACUGACAGGGCCAGCGAGUACCUCCUUGGCCGAAAGGCCCGGGUAAUCUUGUUAAACCCUGUCGUGCUGGGGAUAGAGCAUUGCAAUUAUUGCUCUUCAACGAGGAAUCCCUAGUAAGCGCAAGUCAUCAGCUUGCGUUGAUUACGUCCCUGCCCUUUGUACACACCGCCCGUCGCUACUACCGAUUGAAUGGCUAAGGGC